UACGUAGGGUGCAAGCGUUAAUCGGAAUUACUGGGCGUAAAGCGUGCGCAGGCGGCUAUGCAAGACAGAUGUGAAAUGCCCGGGCUCACCCCGGGACCUGCAUCCCAUACUGCUGAGCUUGAGUACAGGAGAGGGUGGGGGAAUUCCUGGUGUAGCGGUGAAAUGCGUAGAUAUCAGGAGGAACACCGGUGGCGAAGGCGCCCACCUGGCCUGCUACUGACGCUGAUGCUCGAAAGCUAGGGGAGCAAACGGG
rnacentral:rRNA from 1 species